rnacentral:rRNA from 1 species
CCCAACAGCUAGCCCACCCACCCAAGAACAACAAACACAAUCAAUACCCCCUCAAAUACAACACAACCAUAUAAAUAAAUCAUUCUCCCUCCUAAGUACGGGAGACAGAAAAGGACAUUCCUGGCGCUAUAGAUAAAGUACCGCAAGGGAAAGCUGAAAGAGCAAAUGACACAACCCAGUAAAGAAAAAAAAAGCAGAGAUCAGUACUCGUACCUUUUGCAUCAUGACUUAGCCAGUAACUUUCAAGCAAAGCGUACUUUAGUUUGAGCCCCCGAAACUAAGCGAGCUACUCCAAGACAGCCUAUUAUAGGGCGAACCCAUCUCUGUGGCAAAAGAGUGGGAAGAGCUUUGAGUAGAGGUGACAGACCUACCGAGCCUAGUUAUAGCUGGUUGCCUAAGAAAUGAAUAGAAGUUCAGCCUUUUAACUUUUUCCCUCCAACAAGGACACCCUCUCCCCGACACAGAGAAGCUAAAAGAGUUAUUCAAAAGGGGUACAGCCCUUUUGAAAAAAGACACAACUUUAAUAAGCAGGCAAAAGAUCAAAAGACUUAAAGGCACAAUAUUCUAGUGGGCCUAAAAGCAGCCAUCCAUGCAAAAAGCGUUAAAGCUUAAAUAUUAGCCACCCCCAAUCCCGACAACAACAUCUUAAACCCCUAAAACUACUAGGCCAUUCCAUGCAAACAUGGAAGAGACCAUGCUAACAUGAGUAUAUAAGAGGGCCCAGCCCCUCUCCCCGCACCCGUGUAAAUCAGAACGAACCCCCACUGAAAAUUAACGUCCCCAACAGAAGAGGGCAUUGAAUAACACCCCCCAUUUAAACCAGAAAACUCCUCAACAAAAUAACGUUAACCCUACACAGGCAUGCUUAAGGAAAGACUAAAAGAAAAAGAAGGAACUCGGCAAACACCGGCCUCGCCUGUUUACCAAAAACAUCGCCUCUUGCCCACAAAAUAUAAGAGGUCCCGCCUGCCCUGUGACAUAAAAGUUUAACGGCCGCGGUAUUUUGACCGUGCGAAGGUAGCGUAAUCACUUGUCUUUUAAAUGAAGACCAGUAUGAAUGGCAUAACGAGGGCCAAACUGUCUCCUUUUUCUAGUCAAUGAAAUUGAUCUGUCCGUGCAGAAGCGGACAUAAACCCAUAAGACGAGAAGACCCUAUGGAGCUUAAGACACUAGGACAGCCCACGUUAAGCCCCCUCCAUAAAGAGCACAAACUAAAUGGCCCCUGUCCCACUGUCUUUGGUUGGGGCGACCGCGGGGCAACACGAACCCCCCACGUGGAAUAGGGCAUUCCCCCUCAAAAACAGAGCCACAGCUCUAGCAUACAGAACCUCUGACCAAUAAGAUCCGGCACUGCCGAUCAACGGACCAAGUUACCCUAGGGAUAACAGCGCAAUCCCCUUUUAGAGCCCAUAUCGACAAGGGGGUUUACGACCUCGAUGUUGGAUCAGGACAUCCUAAUGGUGCAGCCGCUAUUAAGGGUUCGUUUGUUCAACGAUUAAAGUCCUACGUGAUCUGAGUUCAGACCGGAGAAAUCCAGGUCAGUUUCUAUCUAUGAUGUGCUCUUUUCUAGUACGAAAGGACCGAAAAGACGAGGCCCCUGCUACAAGCAAGCCUCCCCCUCACCCAAUGAAACCAACUAAAAUAGGUAAAAGGGCAUGACCCUCCUGCCUGAGAAAAAGGCAA